CCCGAGAUGGUGUAAUGGGUAAGGUGUCUUCCUAUUGCGCAGCUGGCCUCGGUUCGAGUCCGACUGUAGGAC